rnacentral:lncRNA from 10 species
UGCACUCCCAAGACGCAAUCUGAACAGGGCAAUAUCAGCAUUGCCUGAUGUUCUUAUUCUGUAUUCUGUGCUCCCAUGAGUUUUGGGAGGUUUUCAUUUGGUUUUUAUUUCCUUUCUUCCUUUUUCUUCCUCUCUCUCUUUCUUUUUUCUUUCUUCCUUUCUUUCUCUCUAUUUCUUUGCCAGACAUUGAGGAUAAUGAAUGAGCACUGAUUAAAUUUUUCCAGCACUGCUUAAAGUUUUUGUACUUAAAAAGGUUAAAUCAUUAGGUUGUUGGGUGUGGAUAGGGAGGUAGAAAACUCAUCUCCAAAAAUAUACCCUCUUUCUUUCUUGUUUAUAUAAAAUGUUGUCCUGAAGGCUUCGCAGGACUGGAGAGCAAGCACACAAACAAAAUCAGGUCAUAACCAUUCUGCUGUCUGCUCCUCUCCCCACUGGGCCCUGGGUGGAGCCCCAGGACAAAGGUCUGGGGGGCACCAGGAAGCAAGGCCAGAAAACCCCAGGAGGGGACUUUUGCAUGCCUUGGCUCAGGCUCAGAAGUGCAGGGAAGAAACUGAAAUAAGUGGCUAGAUCCUCACAGCCCAGGCCAGUGAUGCUGGCUCCCCAGCCCAGCACAGGGUCCCUGCUCAGAGAGAGGCGGCCUCAGUUCUCUCAUCUGUGAAAUGGAGCUGUUGUGAAAACCCACCAGGAUGACCCAUGGGACUGGCGGGAGGGAAGACCAGGCUUGGGGCAGGAGCUCAGGAAGUGUGGGUUGAGCCCCAUCUGUGAAGAUGGGCUUGGGGUAAGGAGGAGCUUCUGCAGGUCAAAAAGCAUGAGUUUUUAAGAAACUCUUUCUGUUCCUAGCUUGGGAAGCACAUGUCUUCUGUGAAUCAUUUCUUCUUCCUGCAGCAUGGGGGUGUUUUUUUCCCCACUUCAUCUUGAAGUCAUGUAAACCUCUAAUGCCAAUUUCUGCUUCCGCACAGGCUGGUUGCCAGCAGCCGCCUGCCUGUGCCAUCUUGAGGCAGCGUGACUGGUGAGGAGGCUGCAGGGCAGUGUCCCCCUCCAGAGAGAAGGCCCUGCCCUGCACUUGCCAUGUUUUAAGCAUCUGGCAUGGGGCAGUGGAAAGAACUCUUGAUUAGCAUCAGAAGCCCUGAGUGCCUCAUGGUCCUGCCACAAAGCUGCUUCUGCCACCUCAGACUUCAGCUUCCACCCUGGGAAAUGGGGCAUCUGGUCGAAAUAUGCACAAAGGGCCUCCUCAGCUUUGUGGUCCCAUGGAAAGGGCUGGGACAGCUGGAGGAAGGCUAGCAGGGAGCUGAGACCUCUCCUUCCAGGUCCUCCCUCCAGGUCCCCACUUGAUCUGGGCCUCCAUUCCCUGACAGGGUUCAAGGCAGCAGCAGCUACUGGAUAACGCAGACCAGAUGCAGCCCUUUCCCCAGACAUGCUCAGGGGCCUUCCUCCUCGGAGGCCUUGGGGAUAUUUGAAACUCCUCGGAGUUUGGCUUCAGAGGCUGGAGUGGAAACCACAGCUCCAUUAUGUGAGCACACAUGAUCUCCCUGGGAGGAAAGGAAUGGGCUGGCCUCAGAAAAUGAGAGACAAGUUCGAGGCCACUGGGUCUAUGGAGAACAUGUUUUCAUCUCUGAGUAUGCCAGUGUCUGGGAACCUCAAGGAGGGCAGGUCCUACGUGCUCUGCCAGAACGGAGGGCCUGACCCCUGAAGGGGUGGGCUCUCUAUGACCAGAGAAUAGGAGCAAAGGCCAGGGGCUUUUACAGGGGAGACUUGAGCCUGGUAUAAAGGCUGGACAUCCACCAAGGAACCAUUUCACUUCACCCCCAAUGCCAUCUCAUAUUUUGAAAGCUUUACAUUUGCCAGACAAGUCCUUGAGGAAGAAAAAUUCCAUUAAAGGGGAAUGACUCCCUCCCCUCCCCUAUGGCAACCCAAGCAACUACAUUUGCCCAAAUAAGUGGAAGAUGGUUCCAAAGCCACUGACAGUUAAGACACCCCAACUUCCAUCACUGCCUAGUUGGGUAACUUUGGGCCAAUAAUUCAAUAUCUCCAGCCUCAGAUUUCCCAUUUGCCUAAUGGAAAUACUGAGCCUCACCUGACAGUGCUCUAAGGUGUGCAGGAAGGAGCCUAGCCGAGCCUCAGUAACGACAAGUCAGCGCACUCCCGAAUAACAGGGAUGAAACACUCAUUCCCAUUCCUAGGGAUCCAAGACCCUCAUAAGUUCCCAGCAGCACUUGUGGUUGGCAAAAAUAACCAAGACAUCCCCAGGGGUGGCUGUGGUCCAGGCUGAGGCAGUCAGCCUGCUCGGUGAGCGUAUAGGCCUGAGUGAUGGUGGGGGUGGAGGACUUUGAAAGCUGCAGAAAAUGAGUCUCCAUCACGUAUACCCUUAAGGGCAGGAAUCAGGGCUGAACCCAUCUCUGCUGACGCUUCCAGCCUUAGAUUCUUUCUCCCAAACACUCUCAGGGGUGAAGGCUCAGGCAGGCAAUGGAUCCCCAAGCUUGGUACUGCCCAACAUCCAUUCACCUGGGGUGCUCUGGGCUAGUUUCUUGGAUAUUUCUGUGAAGUGUGGGACAGACUUGUUUGGUAACUUAGGAACCUCAGUUUCCUCCUGUAUGAAAUGGAAGCAGUAGCCGUUUUAGCCCCCUGGCAGGUUGUUGUGAGGGUUAGGGAGAGUGGACAGUAAGCCCGAUUGUGUGAUCCUCCCCACGCGGUAGGGAGAGACCUCAGGCUUUAGGGCACCAAAGACUGGGGUUGCAGCCAGGGUGAUCAACUCCUAGGAGAAGGGUCCAUCCCCUGUACAGGGUCUGGGAGUGGGUGGGGCAGGUUCCUGUAAAAUUUAAGAUUUGUGGAUAGAAAGAGAUUAGACUUAGUGAUGAACCUUGUAAUAGUCAGGCCAUGCUGGCCAAAGAUAAUGAAGGCUUUUCUACUCCUGCCAGACCCCUGACUGGGUCUCUGUCUGUGCCCUCCCUGGCCACAGUCCAUCCUUCCUCUCAUCCACCAUUCAUUCAUGCCAUCACUCAUUCCACAAACACUUUUCAAGCCCCUUCUCUGUUCCCAGCACCGGGGAUACAGCUGCAGAUGAGGGUGAGUCUUGCCCUCCUAGGGCUUACAGGCCACACGGGGGAGAAAGGCCUUAAACAAAUGGCGACACACAUCAAUACAAAUAAAUACAAAAUUACAAUUUUUUUAAAAGGUGGGGUCUUGUUCUGUCUUCCAGGCUGGAAUGCAGUGGUGCGAUCAUAGCUCACUAUAACCUUGAAAUCCUGGGCUCAAGCAAUUCUCCGGCCCAACUUGGGAGGCUCCUACUUGGGCAGCCUCCCAGGUAGCUAGGAGGACUACAGUCAUGCAUGCACCACCACACCUAGCUAAGUUUUUUAUUUUUAUUUUUGUAGAGACAGGGGUCUCACUAUGUUGCCCUGGCUGGUCUUGAACUCCUGGCCUCAAGCAGUCCUCCCACCUCAGCUUCCCAAAGUGUUGGGAUUCCAGGCAUGAGCCACCAUGCCUGACCAAAAUUACAAAAUUUAGCAAGUGAGUGGAAGGAAAAGAAUGAGAUGUUACAAGAGUGGAUAAUGAGAGCUGACUCUUCCUAAAGGCCAGGGCUUACUGUGAGGCUGCAGCAUCCGAAACACUCGAUAUUUGAUAACUGGAUCCUCACCAUGUUCCUGCAGGGUGGGUGCUGCUGCUCUCGCCAUUUUCCAGGUAAGAAAACUGAGUCUCAAUAGGUGGAAAGUCUUGUUCAAGAUCCACGACUAGGAGAGUGGAGCCGUGGUGUGGCCCGGCUCUGGCCCAGAAGCUGCACUACCCCAGGAAGUGGGAGACCAAGAGCGGCUGCUCCAGGACCGGCCUUCUGCUGAGAUGGGACAGGAUGGUAGCUGACUUGGCACAGCAGAGGCCUGACAAAGCACCCGCACAUUUCCCCUUUUGCCUCUUCUCUUCUGCCAUUGUCAUGAGACCAUGCUGGGCUAGCUUGCUGAAGGACCAGAUGCGGCCUCAAGCCAAGUCCCCUCUGUCAUCCCAGCUGAGCCAUCACAGAUCAACAAGCUGACCUACAUGUGAGAGACCCCAACCCAGAUCAGCCAAACCCCACAAACUCUGUGCUAAAUAAAUGUUCAAAUCUGCAAUUUUGGGUUGUUACGCAGCAUUAUUAUGGUGAUUGAGGACAGGUACAGACAUGCAUGUAACCAAUUUAACUACAGAUUGCAGAUGAUAGGGGCUCUGCCGGUCACCUGCAUGGAGCAGGGGAGGAACAAUUAAUUCUGAACCCAGAGGUCAGGGAACGCAUCAUAGCGCAAUGAACACAAGAG